CCCGGCCUGUAAUGCAGUCCUAUUUAUGCUACAAAUUGUAAGAGAAAACUUCGUUACACCACUUUGCAAAGUGUUGAUGUCCUGAAGAGCUUCAAUUCUUUUGUCCAUAAGUAAUUCAUUAUCAUGGCUUAAGUACGCUUUUGCGUUAGAUUUAUUAAAUUCAGGAGACAUUACAUGUCUAAAGCAACUGGUAUCGUUAAGUGGUUUAACGACGAGAAAGGUUUUGGUUUCAUCACUCAGGACAACGGCGGCGCUGACGUAUUCGUUCACUUCCGUGCUAUCGCUGGUGACGGCUUCAAAUCUCUAGCUGAAGGCCAGAAAGUAUCUUUCGACAUCGAAGAUGGUCAGAAAGGUCCUCAAGCUGCUAACGUUGAAAAAAUCUAAUUUAGAUUUUUAACGUAAGAAUUUUUAAGAGCGUCUUCGGACGCUCUUUUU
rnacentral:sRNA from 1 species